ensembl:lncRNA
ACAAAGUUAAAAUAAUAAUAAUAAUAAAUAAGAAAGACAUAAUUUACAGUACGUGCUAAAAUUUAAUUUUAUUAAUUUAUAUUAUCAAAUGUAAUUGAAUUUGUGAAAUACAUUUUUAAAUUAUAUAUACAUGUAUGUGUGUGUGUGUGUGUUGCUGUUUUUCAUUUAAAGAACAAGCACAAGUAACGCCAAAUAUUUAAAUAAUAAUAAUACAAAAAAAAAAAAAAAAAACAUUCACAAGACACCAAAUGCAGAUUUAUUGUAUUUUACAAAAUGCUAGAUUUAUAAUGUAGCUACAUCGAUUCGUUCAAACACUGAUUCAAUCGGGAAUGAAACCAAUGAGGUGCUUUGCGAGUGAAUCACUGAAUCAUUGACUCAACCGAUUCGUUCACAUACACUGAUUCACCCGGGAACCAAACACCAGCGCACUGGCUUUGUUUGGAAUUAUUUUUCUUGGCGGAGCAAAUUUCCAAAAACUAACUGAAACAUUGUGUCAAACAUGUUUGUGGGUCACCACAAUUUCGAUGGUUUAUUCAAAUCAUACCAAGAGGUCAAGGUUUAGCUAGUUCGCCCCUGCUGGGAUGUGCCAUAACUACACCAUUGUGGAGCCAAAUCCACAAACAAAGCCUAACAACACAUCUGCAAUGA